AUACCUUUCUCGGCCUUUUGGCUAAGAUCAAGUGUAGUAUCUGUUCUUAUCAGUUUAAUAUCUGAUACGUGGGCCAAUGGUCCACACGAUAUUAACUCUAUUUGUUUUAGGUGAAGGCCCAAUAAGGUAGCUUGCUGCCUGGACCUUAGCACGUCGCCUUGGUGUUGCACUAUUGCCUCGGCCUGGCGUAACCUAC